rnacentral:rRNA from 1 species
AUUGAACGCUGGCGGCAGGCCUAACACAUGCAAGUCGAACGGUAGCACAGAGAGCUUGCUCUCGGGUGACGAGUGGCGGACGGGUGAGUAAUGUCUGGGAAACUGCCCGAUGGAGGGGGAUAACUACUGGAAACGGUAGCUAAUACCGCAUAAUGUCGCAAGACCAAAGAGGGGGACCUUCGGGCCUCUUGCCAUCGGAUGUGCCCAGAUGGGAUUAGCUUGUUGGUGAGGUAAUGGCUCACCAAGGCGACGAUCCCUAGCUGGUCUGAGAGGAUGACCAGCCACACUGGAACUGAGACACGGUCCAGACUCCUACGGGAGGCAGCAGUGGGGAAUAUUGCACAAUGGGCGCAAGCCUGAUGCAGCCAUGCCGCGUGUGUGAAGAAGGCCUUCGGGUUGUAAAGCACUUUCAGCGGGGAGGAAGGCGAUACGGUUAAUAACCGUGUUGAUUGACGUUACCCGCAGAAGAAGCACCGACUAACUCCGUG